rnacentral:rRNA from 1 species
AACGAACGCUGGCGGCGUGCCUAACACAUGCAAGUCGAGCGCGAAAGGAGCAAUCCGAGUAGAGCGGCGCACGGGUGCGUAACACGUGGAUAAUCUGCCCUUGAAUUCGGGAUAACCUUCCGAAAGGUUGGCUAAUACCGGGUAAGCUCACGGUGACUUCGGUCGCUGUGGGAAAAGUAGACCUCUGUUUACAAGUUUACGUUUGAGGAUGAGUCCGCGGCCCAUCAGCUAGUUGGCGGGGUAAUGGCCCACCAAGGCUACGACGGGUAGCUGGUCUGAGAGGACGAUCAGCCACACUGGAACUGAGACACGGUCCAGACUCCUACGGGAGGCAGCAGUGGGGAAUUUUCCACAAUGGGCGAAAGCCUGAUGGAGCAACGCCGCGUGUGUGAUGAAGGUCUUCGGAUCGUAAAGCACUUUUCGACCGGGACGGAAAAACCUACUGGCUAACAAUCCAGGGGCCUGACGGUACCGGGAGAAGAAGCACCGGCUAACUCUGUGCCAGCAGCCGCGGUAA